rnacentral:rRNA from 1 species
UACGAAGGGGGCUAGCGUUGCUCGGAAUUACUGGGCGUAAAGGGCGCGUAGGCGGCUGUUUAAGUCAGAGGUGAAAGCCCAGGGCUCAACCUUGGAACUGCCUUUGAUACUGGUCAUCUUGAGUGUGGGAGAGGUGAGUGGAACUCCGAGUGUAGAGGUGAAAUGCGUAGAUAUUCGGCGGAACACCAGUGGCGAAGGCGACACACUGGCCCGAUACUGACGCUGAGGCGCGAAAGCGUGGGGAGCAAACAGG